GAGUUUGAACCUGGCUCAGGAUGAACGCUGGCGGCGUGCCUAAUACAUGCAAGUCGAGCGAACCACUUCGGUGGUGAGCGGCGAACGGGUGAGUAACACGUAGGUGAUCUGCCCAUCAGACGGGGACAACGAUUGGAAACGAUCGCUAAUACCGGAUAGGACGAAAGUUUAAAGGUGCUUCUGACACCGCUGAUGGAUGAGCCUGCGGCGCAUUAGCUAGUUGGUAGGGUAAAGGCCUACCAAGGCGACGAUGCGUAGCCGACCUGAGAGGGUGAACGGCCACACUGGGACUGAGACACGGCCCAGACUCCUACGGGAGGCAGCAGUAGGGAAUCUUCGGCAAUGGGCGAAAGCCUGACCGAGCAACGCCGCGUGAAUGAUGAAGGCCUUCGGGUUGUAAAAUUCUGUUAUAAGGGAAGAACGACUUUAGUAGGAAAUGGCUAGAGUGUGACGGUACCUUAUGAGAAAGCCACGGCUAACUACGUGCCAGCAGCCGCGGUAAUACGUAGGUGGCGAGCGUUAUCCGGAAUUAUUGGGCGUAAAGAGCGCGCAGGUGGUUGAUUAAGUCUGAUGUGAAAGCCCACGGCUUAACCGUGGAGGGUCAUUGGAAACUGGUCGACUUGAGUGCAGAAGAGGGAAGUGGAAUUCCAUGUGUAGCGGUGAAAUGCGUAGAGAUAUGGAGGAACACCAGUGGCGAA
rnacentral:rRNA from 1 species